rnacentral:rRNA from 1 species
UACGUAGGGGGCUAGCGUUGUCCGGAUUUAUUGGGCGUAAAGAGCGUGUAGGCGGCCAGGUAGGUCCGGUGUGAAAACUCGAGGCUUAACCUCGAGAUGUCAUCGGAAACCAUCUGGCUAGAGUCCGGAAGAGGAAGGUGGAAUUCCUGGUGUAGCGGUGAAAUGCGCAGAUAUCAGGAAGAACACCAAUGGCGAAAGCAGCUUUCUGGGACGGUACUGACGCUGAGACGCGAAAGCGUGGGGAGCGAACAGG